rnacentral:rRNA from 1 species
UUAGUCAAUGCUCGUAAGAGUGAACUAGCUAACUGGAAUCAUGAGUGUGUCACUUGUGAUAAGGUAAAGGAAAAAUUAUGAUGUCACUUUACUAGUAGUGUUGUCCAAAGCUGGUGCCAGAAGACUCGGUAAUGCCAGAGACGCAAGCGUUAGUCAUCCUGAUCAGGCGUAAAGGGUUUGUAGGCAGCUUUAAAAUAAUUAAAGAUAGAAUCAUAUAGAGGUCACUUUUAGAUAAUUCUUAGAGUAGGGUUGAUAUCUGUAGAGACUAAGAGGAAUACUAAUUAGCGAAGGCACUUUUCCAAAUUAUGAUUGACGCUGAGAAACGAAGGGGAGGAUAGAAAAUAGGAUUAGAUACCCUCGUAUCCCUCUCUGUCAACGAUGAAUGGUAGUUGCUAGUAUAAAUUAUUAGUGGCGAUGCUAACGCGUUAACCAUUCCGCCUUGUGAGUACGACUGCAAAGUUGAAAACAAAAAAAUUAGUCGGUUUCGGAGCAAACGAAGUGAAGCAUGUUAUUUAAUUCGAAUAAUC